rnacentral:rRNA from 1 species
GUGGAUUAGAUACCCUGGUAGUCCACGCCGUAAACGAUGUCAACUAGCUGUUGGGAAGUUUAACUUCUUAGUGGCGAAGCUAACGCGAUAAGUUGAACGCCUGGGGAGUACGGCCGCAAGGUUAAAACUCAAAGGAAUUGACGGGGGCCCGCACAAGCGGUGGAGUAUGUGGUUUAAUUCGAUGCAACGCGAAGAACCUUACCUGGCCUUGACAUCCUGUGAACUUUCUAGAGAUAGAUUGGUGCCUUCGGGAGCACAGAGACAGGUGCUGCACGGCCGUCGCCAACU